rnacentral:lncRNA from 1 species
CUUUCAUCUCCGCAGAGGCCCGAGAGUGGACUGGGCCACCCGCUGAUCUCGCUCAGCAGACCUGAAAAGAAGUAUUUUCAUGCUAUGGAGCCUGUUUUGUCUAUGAGCAGAAGGGAGGGGCGUGGACUCCCUGAAGCACAGAGCCCUGCAGAUGGGAAGAAACUGAUCUUUUGAGACUGAUGUCCUGGCCUUGCUGUUCACAGUGGGGACAGAGGUGCAAUGGGACAGGGAACAAAAGCUCGGCCAGAGCUGUCUCAGGGGCUUUCUAGAUGUUCCCCCAACUUCUUGCCAUUCCGGGAGAAGUGCAGAUGAGGAAAUGCCAGCAGCCCUGGUUUAGGUUCUGAAACUGUUGCUACUGCCUGUGCUAGGUUGAAUGAAAUGCCUCAACUGUG